rnacentral:lncRNA from 1 species
UGUGAGAGUAUUAGUUUAACUAGGUUUUACCGUAAUUAUUUAAAUUUUGAUUAUAUUUCAAAAAAUUAAAAAAAAUCAACAAAUAAUAUUGUGACACAUAUCACCAACGGCAAAAACAAACGCGUCAUCAAACUAUAUCUAUCUCCAGAUGGGGUCUCGUGGUAUAUUCAACAAUCAACAUCCAAUGAAGUUGCCGGACCGCCGCUUAAAUUUAAGAGUAUUCUAAAAGUUCAAUCUAUUAAAUGCAAGGGGAAAAAGAGAGAGAGAGAGAGAGAGAGGGAAGUUAUCCUCUCGUGAAAGUGGCCGAUCUCAAGUGCUUUUUAACCUUUGAGGAAGUGAAAAAUUUCAACACUUUGUGUCACAGCGAGUACUCAGCAAGCAAAGCUAAACAGGUCCUAAUCUUGACCGUAAAUGAUGCCACAUGCAUUCUUCAAUGAACUUUCCAAAUGGUGGUAUUCGAUAGCAAUUGUGCACAUGAUGAUAACGUUGUUGUGUAUUUUUUUUUUUUUUUUUUUCCAAGCAAAAACGCUGGCAGUAUCUGACUCGAUUUGCAAUUCCGUCGCUCAAUGUACAAUCUUUGUCAAAAUUAAUAACAAAUAAUUCCACUGGUCAAGCUCAAGCCAACGCCAACUGGAAUCUCAUUCUGUGGUCCUAUUUAUUUUUAGGAGCUAGCUACGGUACAGAUUCUGUAACAUACAGACCAGGUUAACCAGCCCCCAGUGGUGCCAUUUGCUUGCUUUGUUUUCACAUGGUGGGACACGUGGAGUGCAUGGAGUGGGGAAUGUAUGUUACAGAAUCUGUAAGAUAGACUUCUCCUUAUUUUUAGCGUGAAAAGUAAAAUUCUCACUCCGUGAGAAAAAGUGGAAACCUACCCCCACUUCUUCUUCUUUUUUUUAACCAUUU